GCGCGCGGCCUUCCUGGUUCCCGAGGUACCCGCGCCCGACGUUAGCCGUUGCCGGCGCCCGGCGACCAGUACGUGAAGUUCCGGGACAGCUCGUCCACCGCGGCCGACGCGGCCAUGCGCCCGCUCCCUGGGCCCGCGCCGGCCCCCGCGCCCCCCGCGCCCCCCGCCCCGCCGCGCCGCGCCGCGCCCUCGAGGCCACUUCCUGCCCGGCGCCGGCCACCUGGCUCCCGCCCCCGCGCCGCAGGUGCGGCUCCGCCCCGCCCCGCCCCGCCCCGCCCCCAGACGUCGCGGCGCGUCCGGGGGCCCCGCGGCCUGGGCUCGGUGCGCUCGCGGGCCUCGCCGCCCAGGCGCGUCCCCGUGUCCCCGCGUCCCCGCGUCCCCGCGCGCAGGGCUGCACCUGCCGGGGCCGCAGGGCGGUCGGUCAGGACGCACCCAAGCGGGCGGACGGCCCCGGACCUGUUCCCGGCAGCUCCGGCUUCUGUCACUUUCAGGGUUUCUCAGUUGAACGUCCAAAGCUGUUUGCGAUGGAAAAGUCACGAGUCCCCGAGAAUAUUGAUAAUGUCUGUUCUGGAGUGUUCUGGAGACAUUGGAGCAUGGGUUCUUCUACUGGCAUUUUAUCAAGAAAGCUCUCGAUGUUCAGAACACUGUGACAGGCAUUUGCAUCAUGUGUGA
rnacentral:lncRNA from 12 species